ACAAAAUCGGAGGCCCCGACUGUUUACUAAAAACACAAUUCAGAGCAAUGAUGAAAAUCAUAGUAUUCUGGAUGAAAUUUGCCCGAUGCCAUUAACAUAAAAGAGGUAAUGGGUUACUGUUACUAAUUGAAAGUCUGGUUAAUAGCGGUCUUAAUUAUGAGGAUCCUAAGGUAGCAAAAUCAGUUGGCCAUUAAAUGUGGUCUGGUAUCAAUAGUGUAACGAUGGUCUCACUGUCUCUACAACUUGCUCAGUGAAAUUGAAUUAUCCGUGCAGAUGCGGAUUGCCUCCAGUGGACGG
rnacentral:rRNA from 1 species